UCUUCAGGUUCUCUCAACAUGGAGACAGGAAUAAGGCAGACACAGGGACAAAGAAACCAACAAUACUUGAACACUGCAAUCAACUGAUUUACAACCCUCUGUAUUCAAGUGGCUAGAGUACUACCAUGUGUUUUGUGCUUAUGGGUUAAUGUUUACAGUACAGAAUAAAACCAAGUGCUGUGAUAGGUUGAAACAAACCAGGCUUCCUUUCAAGCCCAUGGGACAGAUGGAGAGAUUAUGAGUUUCUCUGACUUUGGCAUAGGAAGGGAUAGUGUAGCC